rnacentral:rRNA from 1 species
GAUGAACGCUAGCGGCAGGCCUAACACAUGCAAGUCGAGGGGUAGAACACUUCGGUGUUUGAGACCGGCGCACGGGUGCGUAACGCGUAUGCAAUCUACCUUGUACAGGGGAAUAGCCCAGAGAAAUUUGGAUUAAUGCCCCAUAGUAUAUAACCUUCGCAUGUUGGUUAUAUUAAAGUUCCAACGGUACAAGAUGAGCAUGCGUCCCAUUAGUUAGUUGGUAAGGUAACGGCUUACCAAGACGAUGAUGGGUAGGGGUCCUGAGAGGGAGACCCCCCAAACUGGUACUGAGACACGGACCAGACUCCUACGGGAGGCAGCAGUUAGGAAUAUUGGUCAAUGGGCGCAAGCCUGAACCAGCCAUGCCGCGUGCAGGAAGACGGUCCUAUGGAUUGUAAACUGCUUUUGUACAGGAAGAAACAACUCUACGUGUAGAGUCUUGACGGUACUGUAGGAAUAAGGAUCGGCUAACUCCGUGCCAGCCGCCGCCGUAAAAC